GUGGGUGUAGCUCAAUGGUAGAGCUCCAGGUUGUGAUCCUGGUGGUUGCGGGUUCAAUUCCCGUCACUCACC
rnacentral:tRNA from 1 species